CAAGUACUCCCUCCGAACGAAAAUACUUGUCAUCAAAAUGGAUAAAAAAGAUGUAUCUAGAACUAAUAUACAUCUAGAUACAUCCCGUUUUAUUCAUUUUGAUGACAAGUAUUUUCGGACGGAGGGAGUACUAC
rfam:Triticum aestivum genome assembly, contig: Triticum_aestivum_CS42_TGACv1_scaffold_534951_6DL